UAAUUAAUAAAAAAAUCCUUUUAUAUUUCUUUUGUCAAUGUGACAUUGUAUUGAUGUCGUAAAGCAUACGACAUUAACACGCUUUAUUAUUAUUCAUGUAGGACCAUCUUUUGAGCGCCCCCUGUUGCAACUCUGGUUGAACUGCAGCCCGUUUCUGUGCGGUUGGAUAAACAGGAAGUGGAAUGGCUCUCCCGGAUCUUGGGAACGCCUGAUGCUCUAACCGGAAGCUGCAGGAUAUCAUGUUCGUUGAGCGCAGAGGAAACAGCAGGUGUGUCUGCAGGCUUUUGGAGGUGUCUGUACUUGCAGCUUGUGCAAUAUAUGAAAAUCACCACACUGGCUGUUGUUCACUGGCUGAGGAUGCCCCCAUUAGACGCAGGGCAGACGGUCAGCGGUGGUGGGACUAAGCACCGAUGACAAGCUCCUGGAAAGGCUGCAGUUGAGGAGAAUGAGCAGAGCCUGCACAGGGACCGGCCCGAGCCUCAGACAUGUACGCACACACACACACACACACACACACACUGAACCCACAUUCGUAUUUAAGUCCUCAUACACAUGCAUGUCAUAGCUGUCUGCAAUCUGACGCUCACUAUAAUAUUUUAUUGCUGCAAUGGAAAACAAAACAUUGUGUUUGAUUUAUGUUGUCUGAGUUAUUAUUUACAUUAGUUUAUCGUUAGCUUUAAUUAAUGUUGAAUUCCAUUCAUUUUUGCUUUUAACGAUCACCUGCUCGCCAACAUGGGCAAACAGCCACCUGCUGCCUUGUGCAUACUGUACAUGCUGUACAUAGAGACGAUGGAUGUCACGAUCCCUAAUGCAUAUUUGUUGAUACGUGAUAGUAAGUUUUAUUUUCACGUUGCCUUUUGUGUACUGUUAGCUAUUUGGAAGUCCAAUUAUGUGCUGUGGGCAUCAGUAAAGUUAUCAGUGAUCACAUCUGAGGCCUCUCAUGUGAGUUUAUGUUUUACAGUUUUAAAUGCCUCCACAUUUUUUGAUGUAUGUUCAAAGUGCUUCAGUGCCACCAACCCUUAGUUUACUUUCUAGUGGACCUGUGAAAGCGUCCAACAAUAGCAGAUACACGUCAAGCAGAUAACCAUACUGUACAGCUAACUGAAGAGUGGGAACCAUUAUUUAUAAGAUUAAU